AGGGUGGAGGUGGCGGUGGGCAUGGAGGUGGAGAUGACGGAGGGAAGAAGAAGAUGAUGAUGAUGGCUAUGAUGUGUAUGAAGAUGAAAUUGAUGAUGAUGGUGCCAGCAAUGAUGGGGAUGAUGGGAAUGAUGUCCUUCAAAGGAAUGAUGUUUAGCAUGAUGUCGUUCAUGAUAUCAAAGCUGAUGCUUUUAAUGAAAAUUUUGGAAAAG